rnacentral:RNase_P_RNA from 2 species
GAAAGCUCGAAUCUUGCACCAGGGGCGUACUCACGGGGUACCCAGUUACCCACACUCUCGUCUCGGGAAGGUCUGAGUUUUGGAUUCAAAUGUACUUUCUAGCCGGAAGUCUCUCUCACCAGAGAGAGUGAGGGAACCAGAAAUAGCGCACGCUCCGGGCCCCAUUUAAACCCCCGUCUGUGAAACCUCCUCGUAGGGCCUGAGACGAAGUCCGGAGUGGGCGAUGGAACCUCUCACAAUCGGCCAAGUUAGCUCAAUGUGCGAGACUCCCCCUCAGCGCGCGGGGAAGCAACUCAAUUCAGACUAGUCUUGAGCUUUC